ensembl:lncRNA
UUUUAGUAGUCAGUGUUUUUGUAGUCAAUGUUUUCAAUACAUUGCAAUGUUUUGGAGCCAAAUUCGUAAAUAGAGUACAGUAGAGUCUCGCUUAUCCAAGCUUCUGGAUUGUCCAAGCCAUUUUUGUAGUCAAUGUUUUCAAUAUAUCGUGAUAUUUUGGUGCUAAAUUCGUAAAUACAGUAAUUACUACAUAGCAUUACUGUACACUGAACAACGUUUUCUGUCAAAUUUGUUGUAUAACAUGAUGUUUUGGUGCUUAAUUUGUAAAAUCAUAACCUAAUUUGAUGUUUAAUAGGUUUUUCCUUAAUCCCUCCUUAUUAUCCAAGAUAUUCGCUUAUCCAAGCUUCUGCCAACCAGUUUAGCUUGGAUAAGUGAGACUCUACUGUAAUUACUACAUAAUGUCACUGUGUAUCGAACUUUUUCUGUUGAUUUGUUGUAAAACAUGAUGUUUUGGUACUUAAUUUGUAAAAUCAUAGCGUAGUUUGACGUUUAAUAGGCUUUUCCUUAAUCCCUCAUUAUCCAACAUUUUCCCUUAUCCAACGUUCUGUCAGCCCAUUUAUGUUGGAUAAGUGAGACUCUACUGUACAUUUUACCCAUUUUUGAAUGGGCACUACUUGUUCUGAGCUAUAUAGAGAGGGCAUUUUUUCUAAAGAUGUUUUGUCUUUUUCAGCACUUUUCAAAUAUCAACAAACAAGGGCCAUUUGAUUCUGGUAGCCAUACUCGUAAUCAGAAGAAUAAGUCAGAGAGCAGGCCUCCAAAGGGAAACAACAACAAGACAGUGGAUGCUGUACAGAAAAACCACUGUACCCGAAUUGUGGAGGAGACCACUCUUCCCUCAAUCAAGUCACCCUGUAUGGUAGAUGAACCUUGAUUCACAGCGGUAGAUUUCGAAAACAUAUCCCCCUUUACAUCUGUGGAAUAAGGACAAAAACCUAAAAAUCAAAUUUCAAAUGUUUUGAAAGAUAAAAACAUAGUUUUCUCAUUAAUUGUGUUUUUCCUUUCCACACAAAAACCCCAUAAAAUUAUUAGAACACAGCCACAGUCUAAGCAAAUUUAUAGUCCUCAUCAAGGAAAUAGAUAGGCAGAUAAGUUAGCUGGUAGGGAAAGCUCUUCACUCAUUGCCCACUUUGCCUGCCUCCCUCCCUCUCUCUUUCUCUCCUGUUUGUUACACUCAUACUUCUCGGGUGCAUGUCUUUUUUAUUCAAGUUUUAGCCAUAUGGCAAGCCCCCUGAGUCCUCCAGUUGCUCUUCUCCUGGGAUUACGGUGAGAGAAGAUGUCUCCAAACAACUUGAUAGUUAAAGAGGUAGGCCCUUUUCCAUAUAGAAAUGCAGUAGGUAAGAGCAAAAUAAACACUUUUCUUAGGACCUCAUCAUACAUACCUAAAUCAGUCCUAGGAGGCUUGGACACCAUCGUCUUUUUCUAAAAAUGUUUUGUCUUUUUCAGCACUUUUCAAAUGGCUCGAAACAAGAGCCAUUGAAUUUUGGGAGCCAGAAGAAUAAAUCAGAGACCAGAUAAAGUACUGCAUUCUCUUUGCCUUUUAAGUGAUAUUAAGAUAGAACUGGUGGUUAAGUGGGGCAAAAGAAAACUAAAUUCCACUUGUUUCAAAUAUUGCUUUUUGACUGCCAUGAGAAUCCGCUACUAGAAGUAUAUGCAUUAAAAUGACUAGCAAAUAUAUGUUUUAAAACUGACUGCAUUAAAAUACAACUUCAAGAUGUAUUGCAGGACAUUUUGCCUGUAAAUGAAAGGUUAGUACUUUAUGUGUACAUCCGAUGGUAAAAACAGAUCUCCUUGCCUGUUGCUCUCCACAGAAUGUAGAAUGGGCUGAGCACAGAGAGGGAGAGAUUAAUUGUUAGUUAAUCUGUUGUACUUAAUGGAAGGCAGGUUCAUCAUCAUGAUCAUCAUGAUCAUCAUCUAGAUCCAACCCAUACUCAUCUUUCUUAGGUGAAUGCCAGUGUUCAUUUCCAUUCAGUAAUACUAUUUUCCCCGCAGAGAAAUGCCAUCGAAGUUCCGCAAUGUUAUUAUGGGAAGGUUACAGCAUCUGGGUUUUCCAAGAGAUAUACACCUACAGGAACAGCUACAGCUAGAGCCACAUGAUUUCUCCUGCUUUCAGGCAGAUUUUGAUUUUGGCUAUUCUAGGUAUGAACGGCAGGCAUGUACCGAAAUGCAGAAGCCAGCACGGUCAUAAGAAACAGAUUUCUGGAGGAGCACCUCUUGCACGUUCGUCCACAAAACCAUCACAAGCAUCUUGCAGUACUUUUUGGCUGCAAUGGAACAUAUUUCUGAGAAUCCGCAACUAGCAAGUAUAUGCUAAUUCACUGACAGCAUUAAAACACAACUUCAGGAUGUAUUGUAGGGCAUUUUGCCUGUAAAUAAAAGGUUAGUACUGUAUGUGUACAUCCGAUGGUAAAAACAGACUUCCUUGCCUGUUGCUCUCCACAGAAUGUAGAAUGGGCUGAAUAGAGAGAGAGAGAUCCAUUGUUAGUUAAUCUGUUGCACUUAAUGGAAGGCAGGUUCAUCAUCAUCAUCAUCUAGUCUAACCCAUGCUCAUUUUUCUAAGGUGAAUGCCAGUGUUCAUUUCCAUUCAGUAAUACC